rnacentral:ncRNA from 1 species
ACAAAAGCUAUGAUAGAGAAAAGUAAAUUGCUGGACUGCUAUUCAGGGAGGAAGAGUCAUCGACUGAAAGCUUUUCCAUAGUCAACGGCAAUUGAAGUUCACUCUGGAGCUGCUGAACUGAACAGCUUUGCUAAGUAGGCUCAGACGGUACUUCACCGUUAAAUGAAGAGGGUAUCGGAUUUUAUCCUGCACCUUGGAGAGAGAACUUCACUGAGUGAAGUUAAGUUGGGUGGUAACGCGAGAAUUACUUCUCGUCCCUAUG